ensembl:lncRNA
UAACAAUGUACCAGUUAAUUUCAUGUGUUGGAUUUGUUUCAGGGCGAUCAGGAAGUUGACCCUGUGAGCAUACACGGAGCCCCUACCCUUGACCUGUGAAACCUCUAUGUGGACCCAUAGCCAGCCCCUAAUGAGAGGAGCAGAGGGCUUGGGUCUGUGUAGUAGUGCGGGUGUGUUCCUGACCUUACUGUGUGUGCGUUGUUCCUCUUUAGGUGGCACUGGUGCGGUGGACUGAGAGCAUAGGCCUGACUGGUGACUAGGGACCUGAACUCCCUGAUGCUGAAGACCCCAGCAGGACAAAUCCUAACCUACUACAUCCUGCAGACCUUCACCUCCAAGAGCAAGAGGAUGGUCAUCAUCGUCAGGGUGGAUACCACAGGUGACAUCACAUGUUUAUUAAGGGCACUGAUUGUUGCCAUGGCGAGUAUUGUGCAGUACAAUGAGUGGCUGGAGGAGGAGAGUGGGAACAUGGCCAGGGAAGGGCUUAGGACGGUGGCUAAUAAAUGCCUAUCCAAGGAGCAGUAAAUAAAUAGACUUUGAGAACCGGUACAACCAGGCCAAGCUGAGUAUGCAUGACCAGGCUCUGAAGGUGUCAGCAGUGGUAGAAAGUCUGGAGAGGGAGAUGGAGCUUCUGUGUUUGAUUGGGGUUGAGGUCGACAUCAGGCCAAGCCUGGAGCUCCUCAGCAAUGCUGGAAUCAAACUGUGAAUAUAUGGAUGCUUACUGGGGAUAAGCUGGAGACAGCUACUUGUAUCGCUAAAAGCUCCCAUUUGGUGUCCAGAAGUGAAGAUUGGUCUCCAACGGUGGAGAGGCCCAUCUGGAGCUCAAUGCCUUCAGAAGGAAACACGACUGUGCUCUGGUCGUCUCUGGAGACUCCUUGGCGGUACUACAACACAACACACUUCUCACAAGCCUCUCAAGAUGGUACUGUAGAUGUAGCCAAAAAUAUUCUGGUGUCAAAACUAAAACCUUUUGAGUCCAAAACUGCAAGAAGAGCAACAAAGCACAUCAGUUAUGAUUUUAUAAGCAAAACAAACUACAUUUUAUCACUGUUGAUCUGAAGAGAUGGUACAGUAAGUAAUAUGUGAGUGUGCUUGUGGGUUCAGAUGUGUUUGCAUUUUCCAAAUCCAUAUGUUUAUCUUCCCACAUAGUCUGCGGGACUAUGAGCAUGAGUUUGUGGAACUGGCGUGUCAGUGUCCAGCGGUAGUCUGCUGUCGCUGCUCCCCCACUCAGAAAGCCCAGAUCGUCCACCUGCUCAAGCACCACACAGCCAACCGAACCUGUUCCACCUAUGGCACAGGUUUUGUAACAACUAACCACUCUCAUCCUUUGAGACACAGAACUGCUACAAUGAUCUGUGUACAAUGAAUGCCAAAUUAUAAAGUAGAUUGUAGAAAAUGCCUACCAGUAAUAUACCUGUAUCUCACUAUUGACUACUUUGUUUUGAAAAUGAAGAAACUAGACCCAGUAUGAGAAGGUACACCCCUAUUAUGUCCACAAUUAAAGAGCAUAAGCAUCUCUGUUAACAUUGUUUUGUCCUGGGGCAUAAGCCUUAUCUCCAUAUUGCUCUUUUACAUGCUAUUAUUGAACCUGUGGCUGACAUGUGGCUCUCUUGUCUCUCACAUGUGAUGAAGGUAAUGAUGUCAAUAUGAUCCAGGCAGCAGACUGUGGUAUUGGUAUUGAAGGAAAGGUUAAUAAUCCAUAUUACGCCUCUUACCUUAUCCAUUUAUUAUUACAUGAAAUAGUAAAAACAUGAUUUUUUAAACAAAAAUGCAAAACCUGUUACGGGCCCCA